AAGCCGGUCUCAGUUCGGAUUGGAGUCUGCAACUCGACUCCAUGAAGUCGGAAUCGCUAGUAAUCGCGGAUCAGCACGCCGCGGUGAAUACGUUCCCGGGCCUUGUACACACCGCCCGUCACACCAUGGGAGUGGGUUGCAAAAGAAGUAGGUAGCUUAACCUUCGGGAGGGCGCUUACCACUUUGUGAUUCAUGACUGGGGUGAAGUCGUAACAAGGUAGCCGUAGCGGAAGCUGCGGCUGG
rnacentral:rRNA from 1 species